UUCGUGUGAACAGUGGUUGAUCACGAGUUAGUCGGUCCUAAGUUCAAGGCGAAAGCCGAAAAUUUUCAAGUAAAAAAAAAAUCAAAAUUUAAAUGCCAAUUAAAUAGAUUUUUAUACACUUGAAUAAUUUUGAACGAAAGGGAAUACGGUUCCAAUUCCGUAACCUGUUGAGUAUCCGUUUGUUAUUAAAUAUGGGCCUCGUGCUCAUCCUGGCAACAGGAACGACCAUAAAGAAGCCGUCGAGAGAUAUCGGAAGAGUUUUCUUUUCUGUUUUAUAGCCGUACUACCAUGGAAGUCUUUCGCAGAGAGAUAUGGUAGAUGGGCUAGAAGAGCAUGACAUAUACUGUUGUGUCGAUAUUUUCUCCUCGGACCUUGAAAAUUUAUGGUGGGGAUACGCAAACUUCUCAACAGGCCGUACCAAUAUCCGCAGCUGGUCUCCAAGGUGAAGAGUCUCUAGUCGAUAAAAUA
rnacentral:rRNA from 1 species